UAUCUGUUAUACUAAAGGAGUAUUAAUCGGUAUGGUUCCAAGAAUCAAAUGUUUCAAAGCUCUGCACCAAUUAUUUACAAAUAAGAUGCACUAGGUGCAGAAAGAAUUUUUUCAUGGAAACAGGUACAGUUAAAUGGUUUAAUGCCGAUAAAGGCUAUGGUUUUAUCACUCGUGAUAAUGGUGGAGAUGUCUUCGUACAUUUCUCUGCUAUUCAGACUGAUGGCUUCAAGUCAUUGGAUGAAGGCCAAAAGGUUACGUUUGAAGUUGAAGACGGACAGCGUGGACCGCAAGCUAUCAACGUUAACAAAGUUAACUAAGUAAAGCUUGUAAUUAAUCGGCUUCUUGUGUAUAAUUUAUGCACAGUGAGGUCGAUUUUU
rnacentral:other from 1 species